AUGAAUUCGAUUGUCGUGAACGGAGAACAUGUGCAAACCGCAUCAUAUAAGAAAUCAUCAAAAUUGAUACAAAUUCCUAAUUACGAUUUUAAUUGACAAGAAAUCACAACUGAACUGAUGCAAUGAGUUUCAUUCCCCAACAAAUAUUGCACCUUUCGGACCAAAUUUCUUUUUACGAUAAAAUGGGUUCUGCUGCAUCUGCCGUUGUCAGACGAGCUGCAAGCAGUUCCCUUCUCCCAAGUUCAAGUGGCGCCCCAUCUGUGAACGCUCACCUUGUGAAAUUACAAGAAUGUGACGAAAAGAUCAGAAAGGCCAAAUUUGCAUUUCGAUUCCAUCGAUUUAGGCAGCUGGGCUGCUUCUUCUUCUUUUUCUCCCGCAGGUGAAAAAAACACUGACACGGAUCCUAAGAACAUCCAGCAUUGGGCCCUGGUCGUUCACUUUCCCAGAGGCAA